GACGGAGGAUGCAAGCGUUAUCCGGAAUGAUUGGGCGUAAAGCGUCCGCAGGUGGCAGUUCAAGUCUGCUGUCAAAGCGUGGAGCUUAACUCCAUACCGGCGGUGGAAACUGAUGAGCUAGAGUGCGAUAGGGGUAGCAGGAAUUCCCAGUGUAGCGGUGAAAUGCGUAGAGAUUGGGAAGAACACCAGCGGCGAAAGCGUGCUACUGGGUCUGCACUGACACUGAGGGACGAAAGCUAGGGGAGCGAAAGGG
rnacentral:rRNA from 1 species